rnacentral:rRNA from 1 species
AGUGAACGCUGGCGGUAGGCCUAACACAUGCAAGUCGAACGGCAGCACAGUAAGAGCUUGCUCUUACGGGUGGCGAGUGGCGGACGGGUGAGGAAUACAUCGGAAUCUACUUUUUCGUGGGGGAUAACGUAGGGAAACUUACGCUAAUACCGCAUACGACCUACGGGUGAAAGCAGGGGAUCUUCGGACCUUGCGCGAUUGAAUGAGCCGAUGUCGGAUUAGCUAGUUGGCGGGGUAAAGGCCCACCAAGGCGACGAUCCGUAGCUGGUCUGAGAGGAUGAUCAGCCACACUGGAACUGAGACACGGUCCAGACUCCUACGGGAGGCAGCAGAGGGGAAUAUUGGACAAUGGGCGCAAGCCUGAUCCAGCCAGACCGCGUGGGUGAAGAAGGCCUUCGGGUUGUAAAGCCCUUUUGUUGGGAAAGAAAAGCAGCAGGUUAAUACCCCGCUGUUCUGACGGUACCCAAAGAAUAAGCACCGGCUAACUUCGUG